GACCUCUGCCCCCACUUUAGAUUCCAUAAACAUCUCAGACAAGUCCUUUGAACUUUAGUAUGAACUUUAGUCCCAAGGGGUACUUACGAUUUCCAAUGCAACCCCUCCAUCCCCUUUCUCUUUCACUCAGGAAAGCAAGUAUGAUGGCUAAAGAGUGGAAAGGACAUCCCAGAAACAGCUACUUGAAGUGUUCUAAAAAGGCACAAUAACAGUUUUAAAUUUACCAGCAAUAACGAAUUAACUGCAGCUGAGCUCACAAUUCAUCAGGACACAUCAGCAUGUUAGGCAGUUGCCAUGGAGACCUGCAGGGUGAGAGUGUAAAACACAGGGGCCCAAGGUCCCGAGACCCAGAUCUCAGUUCUAGCUGUUGACCCGGUGUAAGUCACUGGGGCUGAGUUUCCUCCUCCAUAAAAUGAGAUGGCUAGACUUUGGAGCUUAAUUUAGCUAGAAGAGUCUAAGCCUCCGCAGUGGCUGCAGGAAGCACAUCCCUGAGAACUUGGCACUGAGUGAUGAAAGCAAGACAAAGACCAUAGAGCCAUUUGGUGCAUCCCUGCCGCUGUCACUCCAUAUCCUGGACUUGCAGUGAAAGGAGUUUGAAGCCUCCGUCCUAGAUGCGCAUCCGUUUGGGAUGCUUCUCUCAUCGAAGGAGAGCAGACGUCUCAAAUAAAUGGAUGGCUUAAUGGACCGUCUCGCUGGGCCCUACGUAAGGACAGCGGUCCAAGAGACUAAACUGGGAGCAGGGUCAGGUGGAGAAAGUGGCAUCACCAGCUGUCACCAGGCCUUGAAGGCAUCCAGGUCCCAAGAAGUUUCCAGAACAACUCAGUGUUUCCUUGGGAUGGAGCUUUCCAGCAGCCAGAGAGGAAAAUCCCUGUCUCUUGUUUGAAGGUCUGGAAAGGUCCCAGGCAUUCAGAUCCAAUAGGAAAAACCAUGGAUGACCCAAAGUAGUGAUGACCUCACCCCAUCCAGAUAGCCGUCCACAUGGAGGAAAGAGUCCAGAGCAAAAAGGCCCUGCUCCUCCCAUCAUGGUAAGUGUCAAGGGCUAUUUCUUCAUGAGAAAACAGGCUAAGCUUUGUGUGCAUCCCAGAUAAGCUCCCAGGGGUCAUUGAACCUGAAAAUGCCAUUUACAGGGCUGUCCAGGUGCCUCUGGGCUUCUUUCUGGGAAGAUAGUCUGUAGCUUUUAUCAGAUACGCAAAUGAGUCUCUUUUCCUUCCUUCAUUCAGAAAUCACUUUUUAAAAAAAAUUACUGAAGUAUAGUUGAUUUACAGUAUUGUGUCAAUGUCUGCUAUACAGCAAAGGGAUGCAGUUAUACAUAUGUAUGCAUUCUUUUGCAUAUUCUUUUCCAUUAUGGUUGAUCACAGGAUAUUGAAUAUAGUUCCCUGUGCUAUGCAGUAGGACCUUGUUGUUGAUCUAUUCUAUGUAUAAUAGUUUGCAUCUGCUAAUCCCAAAUUCCCAAGCCUUCCCUCCUCCACUCCCCUCCCCAAAACCCUUGGCAAUCACAAGUCUGUUCUCUAUGUCUAUUUCUGUCUCAUAAAUAAGUUCAUUUGUGUCAUAUUUUAGGUACCGCAUGUAAGUGAUUUCAUAUAGUAUUUGUCUUUCUCUUUCUGACUUACUUCGCUUAGUAUAGUAAUCUCUAGGUCCAUCCAAGUGGCAGCAAAUGGCAUUAUUUCAUUCUUUUUUAUGGCUGAGUAGUAUUCCAUUGUAUAUGUGGACCACACCUUUAUCCAUUCAUCUGUUGACGGACAUUUCAGUUGUUUCUAUGUCUUGGCUAUUGCGAUUAGUACUGCUAUGAACAUAGGGG
rnacentral:lncRNA from 1 species